rnacentral:ncRNA from 1 species
CGGUUUAGAGGUUGAAAAGUAUCCGGCUCCAACGCGCCACCGGUAUUGGUGGGUCGAGAAAUGUGGGCGACAUCCGCCGGUCCCACCUAAACUG